rnacentral:lncRNA from 1 species
UAAAAUCAUUUCGAGUUAAAAAAAAAAAUUAUAUAAAUUAAUUUGCAACAUUUAAUAUUAAAAAAAAAAAAAAAAGUGACUACUAGCUUAUAUACAUAUAUAUGUACAUUCACAUAUUUUUAGAGUACCAUGAUUAUAAAAAAUUAAUAAAAGUUCAUUAACUUUACAAAAAAUUGCACUUGAAUUUUAUAAAAUUUUCUAAGUACACAACUAGCUAGAAUUUGUUUAACACCUUAUCAAUUUAUACAUAUAAAUACAUAUAUAUAUAUGCACGUACAUAAGCAAAUGCGUACAGGUCGUAGUAUAAAACAUAUACUUAGAUUUGUAUUAUUACAAAUAUUUAAAAAAAAUAUAUACAAGUUAAUCGAACCAACUUAUAUUUUAAUAAUAACUAAUUAUUGUUUUUUUUUUUUUUUUUUUUUUUUUUAAAUAAAAUUCUAUAUAAAGUUUAUAAAAAAAAGGAUAUAUAUACAUAUUACAUAUAAUAUAUAUAUAUAUAUACUACCUCGAAAUAACGAUAUUUAUUUUUUUUUUAAAUUUAUUUCAAUAAUAAAAUGAAUAUAUAUUUAUAUUAAGAUUUUAUUUUAUUUUACUUUUUAAUAACAUCCCCCUCCUUAGUACCAUUUAUUAACAUUAUUUAGUGUGACUGUUUGUGCUUUUUUUACAUAUUUAUUAAUAGUUAUAUAUUUAUUAAUAGUUAUAUAUUUAUUAAUAGUUAUAUAUUUAUUAAUAGUUAUAUAUUUAUUAAUAGUUAUAUACUUAUUAAUAGUUAUAUUUUUUGUAUAUAUAAUUAUAUACAUACACGUAUAAGAGAAAAAAAAUAAAAGAUGGAUUAUGUUCGCGAUAUACUAGAAGGCUAUUACCCUGAUGAUAGCACAGAGCUUUUGUGCAAAAAAUAUAAACUAUUCUUAUUAUUAUAUAGCAUUUUUGUAUUUUUAAUAUUUAUCUAUAGCUUUUUCAUCACUCCUAUAUCCCCUUACGGAUGGCUAUUUUUUGCGAACUUUUACUUUGUCGUAUUUCCGGCAAUUGGAUUUUUUGGUGAAUCUUAUAGACCAUCGUUGUUGAGGGUUUACAAUUGGAUGUUGUUUGUUUCGGGCGUAAUUUCAGUUUUUAUUGUUUUUGAAGGAAUAUUUACUUAUCCCUUAAAAGAUUUACUCUUGAUGAUAAUUUAUUCCGCAUUGACAUGGGCUAAUGCUGUAUCUUGUUGGAAAGUUACACAAGCAAUAUUCACUGGAAGACGUAGUCAAGACUCUCUUUUAGAUAGCCUAAAUCCAAGUAAUGGAGACAAUGAUGACGAGAGACAAAAAAAUAAGAAGUGGACGAAAAAGAAGUUUUUUGGAAAGGGGAAAACACCAAAAGAAGAGAAUUAUAAUAAAGUGUAAAAAAUUGUACAUGUAUUCUGUCUAUACAUUAGCUUAUUGUAUAUGUUAAUAUAUUUAUAUAUAAGUUGACUUUUGUAUUAACCUAUUUAUAUGUUAACUUUUUUUUUUUUUUUUUUUUAUUAAUCAUUUAUUUAAUUGUACAUAUUUAUUUUUAUUGAAUUUUAUACUUUUCCGUUUAAUAUAUAUAUAUAUAUAUAUUUAACUUGUAAUUGUAUUAAAAUGUUACAUAGAUAGUGCUUAAGUACGUUUAAUAUUAAACCCAAUAAUUAUAUAUAUAUAUAUUUUUUUUUCCUUUUAAUAAUGUUUCGAUAAUUAUUUUUUUUUUUUUGAAUAAAUAAAAAAAAAAAAAAAAAAAAAAAAAAACA